rnacentral:rRNA from 2 species
CGCGAAGAACCUUACCUGGUCUUGACAUCCACAGAAUUUUUUAGAAAUAAAAAAGUGCCUUUUAGGAACUGUGAGACAGGUGCUGCAUGGCUGUCGUCAGCUCGUGUUGUGAAAUGUUGGGUUAAGUCCCGCAACGAGCGCAACCCUUGUCCUUUUUUGCCAUCGGUUCGGCCGGGAACUACAAGGAGACUGCCGGUUAUAAACCGGAGGAAGGUGGGGACGACGUCAAGUCAUCAUGGCCCUUACGACCAGGGCUACACACGUGCUACAAUGGCACAUACAAAGAGAAGCAAAUUCGCGAGAAUAAGCAAAUCUCAUAAAGUGUGCCCUAGUUCGGACUGGAGUCUGCAACUCGACUCCACGAAGUCGGAAUCGCUAGUAAUCGUGAAUCAGAAUGUCA